rnacentral:tRNA from 1 species
UGGCUCAGUGGAUAGAGCAUCAGCCUAUGAACUGAAGGUCCCAGGUUCAAUUCCUGG